rnacentral:tRNA from 1 species
UGGCCGAGUAGGCGGCAGGUUGUAGCCCUGUGCAGGCGGGUUCAGUCCCGUUCUUAUCA